rnacentral:rRNA from 1 species
UACGAAGGGUGCAAGCGUUACUCGGAAUUACUGGGCGUAAAGGGUGCGUAGGUGGUCGUUUAAGUCCGUUGUGAAAUCCCUGGGCUCAACCUGGGAAUGGCAGUGGAUACUGGACGGCUAGAAUGCGGUAGAGGGUAGUGGAAUUCCCGGUGUAGCAGUGAAAUGCGUAGAUAUCGGGAGGAACACCUAUGGCGAAAGCAGGCUUCUGGGCCAUCUCUGACGCUGAGCUGCGAAAGCUAGGGGAGCAAACAGG